AGUAGAAUUAGAUCUUCUAGUUUCUACUAGAUUGAGAGAUAUAGAGUGGAGGUGUAGAUCAGAGGAAGCCCGGCUUGUCGGUGUCUACUCCGAGGUUGUACCUGCGGGAUCAAGUCUUCUAACUCGAGGCUUGCUCCUAGGUUUCUUCAGUAAUUCGACUUCUAAUUCUAGUAAGUUCUUGUUUUAUUGUUCUUUGGUUUAUGAGUUUACUUUAAUCUCUCCGGUUGAGUAUUAGAGUAAUCAUUGCU
rnacentral:lncRNA from 1 species